rnacentral:lncRNA from 1 species
CGGGCACAGAACUGGUCAAAAUAGGGUGGAAUGAAUCUGACGGAUGUGGUGGACAUAGAGGGGAGCAGCAUGCCAAGCAGACAUAUCUACUUUCCUGUCUACAAAUCCCAUGCUCUUUUCCCUAUAGGCACUACUGAGAUACAGAGUAAACUAUCAUUGUUUGAAAAAACUAGGAAGGAGACUUCAGUCUUAUUGAGAUAUGUAUUUCUGCAGGUUAGGCUGAAGCCUCUGCAUGUCCCGAUGCCUGAUGGAGAUGGAGGAAUCCUUUCUACCCAGACAGAAGUCACACUAUGUAGCCUGUCCUCUUUAGAACUGAAUCCGAUUGGGAUUUCUUCAUGGUCUCCACCCUGGAAAACCAGCUUGAAUUCUUGUAUGCGGGCCAGAUUCCAAGAGACAUCAUAAUUAGAUCCCAGAAGACUACAUGGCAGCUGAAGAGGAUGUCCCCUGUGGAAUAUAUGGAGGAAAGGCUGGCCAAAGCAAUGUUCACAUUCAUGCAAUUAUCCAGUUAAUUGCACAAGGACUGAACUACUAAUUUUCCCCAUCAGCUGAAGAGUUUUGGCAAUGAACAGCUUGCAGCUGAAUCCCCUUCUGGAAAUUAUCCUUGGCUAAAGAGACACACUUUGAUGAAUGUCAUGUACUCUUCCCUGGGGCAGUGUACACCCAGUGACUGGCUGAUGCAGUGGUAUAAAGGUCUGCUCCACUUGCCCUAAAUUCAGGACAACUCCGUAAAGCCAUCCCAGCCCCAGAGCUCUCUGUGCCAUGAGCUGAGUUCUUUGUUGUGAGAGUAUCACAGCUCCCCUUUCUCCCUAAUCCUACUUCCUCACUCCCUCACAAGUGUUGAGUCCUUACAAACUUGCUGAGGAACUUAACCUGGGAAAACUCUUAAAUAAGUCAGUAUAAUUAGAUUAAUUAUAGUAUUUAAGAAUUUUAUAUAAUAUAAUAAGUAUAAUAAGAAAAUUCAGAAAAUUUAACAUUGAUGCAAUAUGAUAAUCAAAUUGUCAAUACCAUAUUUUACCAAUUGUCCUAAUUUGUCCUUCAUGGCAAUUUUAUUUUUUCUAAUUCAAGAUCCAAUCCAGACCAUAUAUUUUAUUUAGUUGUCAUACUGGUUUAGUCUCUCUUAACUCUAAAAAGUUCCUCAACUUUGCUUUGCUUUGCUUUGCUUUCCCAGACACUGACAUUUUCGAAGAACAUAGAUCAGUUAUUUUGUAGGAUGCCCCUCAAUUUGGGUUUGUCUGAUUGCUUCUUUAGGAUUAGAUUUAGAGUUUGGUUUUCAUAAUUCAUCAACUGGUCAUACAACUUUUUCUAAUUUUUAAGGUUAUACAGCUAAUUCUAAAAUAUCUAAAAAUUUCCAUCAUCUUUAUUUGAAUUACUUGGCAUAUGAUAGGCAAUCUGCUCCACUGUAACCAUUUAUGUUAAAGCUAUGUCUUUGGAUUAUAAUGUAAUCCUUUUGGGGACACCUUAAAAUAAUAAUUAGGUAUCCAAAUUUAAGGUUCUGUCACAACUACAAGGUGUUUAACUGAGGCAAGUAACUGGGUGAAUAGUUAUCUUCUCUGAUGACUAAGUCCACUCAUAUAGACGUUAAGAACUAUUAAUGUAUCACACUCCACUUCGUUGUGUAAAAUUGACAAAUUUCUUUUGACACUAAUCACAAGAUGCAUCAUGAAUUCAGAAAUAUUGAAGUGUGAAGGUAAUAUCCAUUUUAUGAUUGAAUCAUGUGCUAAAUACUGCAUGCAUCUUAUUUAAUACUGCAUCUCAUUUAACAUUCACAGCAACUUUAUAAGAUUGCUAUUAAAAAUAUUCCUAUUUUAUGGAUGAGAAAACUCAGGCUCAGGGAGGGUAAGUAACUUUUAUAAGAUCACAUAGUGAGUAAACAGCAUAGUCAAUAUUCAAACACAGAUCUUCUAUUUAUUUUAUACCACAUAUGCAAUUUCUUUUCCCAGUGUAGGCUUUCCCUAAUAUGAGUUUUAUAAUUCAGAUUCCACACUCUCAUUUAAAAAUUCUGGGGUAUCUACACUACUGUAUGCUCCCAAAUUCCUUAAGUACCAACUAGAGCUCUGAAACUACGUUAAACAUUUUGAAGAACAGAAAAAAAUCUGAUAGAAGCAUAUCAACUUUCAAGAAAUGUGCAACCUUAAAUAAUUUACAAAUGUGAAUGAGCAAAAAAUACAAAUCACCAUUAAAGUACUAAAUUGUACAGGGCUGUCCUACAGAAGUGCAGAGAAAAAAAAUGACCUUUAGCCAGAAUAAUCAUUGAAGUCUAUACGAAAAAUUGUCGUUCCAAACAAUUUUCAGUAAUUUGCAGCCAGUUAGUAAAUGACUUUGUUAAUGAGGACAACUGACAAUAAUAGUAAGAAACCAAUAGUUCCCUUGCAAGGAAAGGGUCAAAUCUAUUGAACUAAAGUUGUCACAGGUUGAGUUCCUUGGCAAAUUUAUAAGGACCCAACACUUAUGAGGGAGUGAGGAAGUAGGACUAGGUAGAGAGGGGAGCUGUGAUACUCUCAUAACAAAGAACUCAGCUCAUGGCACAGCGAGUUCUGGGGCUGGGAUGGCUUUACGGAAUUGUCCUGAAUUUGCAGCAAGUGGAACAGACCUUUAUAGCACUGCAUCAGCCAGUCACUGGGUGUGAUUGUCACUUUAGGGAAACUGGGUAUCUGGAGAGAAAAAGCCAAACAUUUAGACUUUAUUAUCAUCUGAAUUCCCCAUCCUCCUAAUUCAUAUGCUGAAGUUCUAACCCCUAGUACCUCAGAAUAUGACCAUAUUUGAAAAUAGGGCCUUUAAAGAGGUAAUUAAGUUAAAAUGAGGUUAUUAGAGUAGACCCUAAGCACGGGGUCCUUACAAGAAGAGGAAAUUUGGACACAGAUUUGUGCAGAGGGACUUGCACAGAUGGAAGACCAUGUGAAAACACUGGGAGAAGAAUGUCAUCUACAAGCCAAGGAGAGAGGGCUGGAACGUAUCUUUCCCUCAAUGUCCAAAACAGGAACCAACCCUGCCUACACCUUGAUCUCAGCCUUCUAGCCUUCAGCACUGUGAGAUGAUACCUUCUUUCAUUUAAGCCACCCAGUCUAUGGUACUUCGUUAUGGCAGCCUUAGCAAACUAAUACGGAUUCCUCAUCAGGUUCAGAUUUUGCUAAAUAAAAUGUGUUUGUGAGGGUGGUACAAGCAACAGUGAUAUAUUUCUUUAAGUAUUUUCCCCCAGCCAAAUUCCAACAAGACAAUAAUGUCUAAUGCACUGUCUGGUGAAUCGGAAAAUCUCCUGAAUGAAAUAAGAGCCUCUAAUACCCAAAAGGGAAUGAAGUGAGUCAUCACCACAGCCUGUGAAUGAAAAUAACUGCUCUGAGAAAACACAUGUAAAAAAUGACACCAUGUGGAUUAAAUAGGGAAACACAAGUAUAUCCAGAUAAAUUGGGUGUUUUCCCUGUACCAAUUACAGCUAUUCUAUAAAUCCCAGAUUAUAAAUCUUCA